rnacentral:sRNA from 1 species
CCGGGCUCCUGCAGGCGGGGCGCUGUGCGCGCCGCGAUCCGGUACGUGGGCCUCCGGGCUGUCCCCUCUGGGGGCGGCGAUCCUCCCUCCGGAGCCCCUCUUCAACCCUCCCGGAAGUGAGCAUUUGCAGGACCAGGGAUGCUGUGCUGCUCUCCCAUGAGCCAGUCACCGAGUCUGUCUGCUGCAGCCCUUUCUGAACCUCUGGCCGUCUGGAUGCUCCACUGUGCUCCUUGCCAAGAUGAAGUGUGUCUUGGUGGCCACUGAGGGCGCAGAGGUCCUCUUCUACUGGACAGAUGAGGAGUUUGAAGAGAGUCUCCGGCUGAAGUUCGGGCAGUCAGAGAAUGAGGAAGAAGAGGUUGGCCUCUUGAUGCUCUGAGCUCGGUGACCCCACACCCACACCCCACCAGUCCUCUCUGGACUAAAUGAGGGCAAGAAGAAGUCGAAUUUUAUCAUGUAACAGAAGAACUUGGAGCCAUCAGUUUCUGUAACCUAAAAAGUUUAACAAGGCUGGGCACGGUGGCUCACGCCUGUAAUCACAACACUUUGGGAAGCCAAGGUGGGCCAAUUGCUUGAGCUCAGGGAUUUGAGACCAGCCUGGGCAGCAUGGCGAAACCCUGUCUCUACAAAAAAAAUACAAAAAUUAGCCAGGUGUGGUGGUGCGUGCCUAUAGUCCCAGCUACUUGGGAGGUUGAGGUGGGAGGAUCACUUGAGUCCAGGUGGUAGAGGCUGCAGUGAGCCAAGAUUGUGCCCAUGCAUUCCAACCUGGGCGACAGAGCAAAAAAAAAAAAAAAAAGUUUAAAGUAAGCUGAACACGUUAAUUUUUUAAUAGCUGUAUUAAGGUAUGAUUAACAUACCAUAAAUUGCACAUAAAGUGCACAAUUUGAUAAGCUUUGAUAUGUAUAUACCUAUGAUUCUAUCACA